rnacentral:tRNA from 3 species
GCCGGAGUGGUGGAAUGGUAUACACGAGUGACUUAAACUCACUUGCCUUCAGUGGCUUACGGGUUCGAGUCCCGUCUCUGGUA